rnacentral:rRNA from 1 species
CGCAUCUGUGCAUGCAGCAUAUCAAUAAGCGGAGGAAAAGAAACUAACAAGGAUUCCCCUAGUAACGGCGAGUGAAGCGGGAAGAGCUCAAAUUUGAAAUCUUAAAGGGUUUCCCUUUACGAAUCGUAGUUUAAAGAAGUGUUUUCUGUUGAGGUUUUGGUAAAAGUUCUUUGGAAUAGGACAUCAUAGAGGGUGAGAAUCCCGUAUUUGACCUUUACUUUCAACUUUGUGAUACACUUUCAAAGAGUCGGAUUGUUUGGGAAUGCAGUCCAAAAUGGGUGGUAAAUUUCAUCUAAAGCUAAAUAUUGGCGAGAGACCGAUAGCGAACAAGUACCGUGAGGGAAAGAUGAAAAGAACUUUGAAAAGAGAGUUAAACAGUACGUGAAAUUGUCAAAAGGGAAGCGUUUAGACACCAGUGUUGUUUUUCUGAAAAUCAAUUAAAGAACUGUUUAUGCUAAGUUGUUUAGACUUUAUCAGCUAACUGUUUAGUUUUGAGCUUUUCUUUAAUGCACUUUUCAGUUAACAAGUCAACAUCAAUUUCUUUUGCUGUAAAAAAGCUUGAGGAAGGUGGCUUGAGAUUCGUCUUAAGUGUUUAUAGCCUCUUGCCUAUGCAGUCGGAGAGAUUGAGGUCUGCAGCGUAGAUCCUUCGGGGCUAAAUGCAUUUGUGCUAAGUUAUAGCAUUUUAUAGACAACUUGUUGACUAUGAUUUGUCUUGUAGCUUACUCGCUUAUGUUAUUUUACCUACGCUUAGGAUGUUGAAUCUGUGCGAGACUAC